rnacentral:rRNA from 1 species
GACGAACGCUGGCGGCGUGCUUGACACAUGCAAGUCGAACGGAAGGGCCCUGCUUUUGUGGGGUGCUCGAGUGGCGAACGGGUGAGUAACACGAGAGUAACCUGCCCUUGACUUUGGGAUAACUUCAGGAAACUGGGGCUAAUACCGGAUAGGAGCUCCUGCUGCAUGGUGGGGGUUGGAAAGUUUCGGCGGUUGGGGAUGGACUCGCGGCUUAUCAGCUUGUUGGUGGGGUAGUGGCUUACCAAGGCUUUGACGGGUAGCCGGCCUGAGAGGGUGACCGGCCACAUUGGGACUGAGAUACGGCCCAGACUCCUACGGGAGGCAGCAGUGGGGAAUAUUGCACAAUGGGCGGAAGCCUGAUGCAGCAACGCCGCGUGCGGGAUGACGGCCUUCGGGUUGUAAACCGCUUUCGCCUGUGACGAAGCGUGAGUGACGGUAAUGGGUAAAGAAGCACCGGCUAACUACGUG